rnacentral:rRNA from 1 species
AUUGAACGCUGGCGGCAGGCCUAACACAUGCAAGUCGAACGAGUGGCGGACGGGUGAGUAAUGUCUGGGAAACUGCCUGAUGGAGGGGGAUAAAUACUGGAAACGGUAGCUAAUACCGCAUACCAUCGGAUGUUCCAAGAGGGGAUGAGCUAGUAGGUGGGGUAAAGGCUCACUUAGGCGACGAUCCCUAGCUGGUCUGAGAGGAUGACCAGCCACACUGGAACUGAGACACGGUCCAGACUCCUACGGGAGGCAGCAGUGGGGAAUAUUGCACAAUGGGCGCAAGCCUUAUGCAGCCAUGCCGCGUGUAUGAAGAAGGCAUUCUGGUUGUAAAGUACUUUCAGCGUGGAGGCGUUACCCGCAGAAUAAGCACCGGCUAACUCCGUGCCAGCAGCCGCGGUAAUAC